GUAACUGUUGCUUACUGAACUUUGGGCAAGUCACUGUGGGCCUCAGUUGGACUCCAUGAACUCUAAGAGUUUUCUAUAAAAAAUAAGAAACUAUAUGUAUAAUCCAGUGAAAUUGUUUGUCAACUCCAGGAGGAAGGAGAGAAGACAAGAGGAAGAUGACAAGAAUCAUGUAACCAUGGGAAAAUUUGUUUUGAAAAAAGAAGCUCAUUUUUCUUAGGAAAAUAACAAAAAUAUUUGUUAACCGAAGAUAAAAAAUGAAGACAUGAUGAUGAUGUUCGGAGAACCCUAAGGAACCCUAAGACCUCUUGUGUCCUCCCAUAGUUUAGAUGGGAGUCCAGUCAAAGGGUAGGGUUGAUAUUGAUCAAAAUGUAUUUUCAAAUGGAAUAGGGGAUACAGUUUAUAUUAAAUCCACCCAAGGUAUAUAUACAUAACAUAUCUAUUUAUAUAUGGUACAUCAGAUUAUUUAAUAAAUGUCUGUUAGUUGAUUAAAA